ensembl:lncRNA
GUGCUCCUUUCCCAAUUUGGAACCAAUCCAUUGCUCCAUAUACAGUUCUGACUGUUGCUUCUUGACCUGCAUGCAGGUUUCUCAGGAGGCAGGUCACCAAACUGCACAUCGAAUCUGAGGUUGAUCACUUUACAAUUGUUUAAGCUGCUUGUGCAUCAACUUUGUCAUCAUUAGGGGAUGCUGCAUCAUCAGUUAGGAACCAGACGAUGGCUUUGGAGUGCUGCCUGGUGCUCUAACCAGGCCUUGCAUCAAAGGUUUGCUCCAGGGAGUCUCCACAAUCUUGAAGCAAAAAAUGGAUUAACCUGGAGGCUUCAGGCUUUGACAUUGUGGCUGGACUCAGGACCAUUUUAGAAUCUACAGGUACCACAGGUACCAUCCAGACUCUUUCUUCCAAUCAAGCAAAGGUAAGGGAGGGACUGUAAGCUGUCUUAGCCAAUGAGUGUGUAUCUUCCAGACCACUGAUUAUAAUGAUGAGGGCUCGUUUCUAAUGGGUUUUUAACAUGCCACAUCCUCCUCGUCCCCAGUGAAAACCUAUCUAAUAUCCUUAUGACGCCAAUUAUAAUACUCUGAUGCUAAUGGGAGAUAGACUGAGUCUUCAUAGUAGCUGUGGACAUUAAUUAAAUGCUGGUGGAACACUCCUGUGCUGUGUGUUCUUGAUUAAGGCAACAGGCCUUCCCUAGGGCACAGAUUAACUGAACACAUACUUACCAUGACAUUGUAAACCACAGGCAUCUGAGUGCUGACUGCAUUCCUCCGGUGCCCUGGUACUUCUGAAACAGAGACUUGCUUUUGGUGGGCACUAACCCCUUAAAUUAUCAAAUGCCUCCAUAAUUCCUUUAAAUCUUCAAGCCCAUUUAGGUUCUCAAAACAGCUGUUUGAGGUGUGGGCUAUGCCUUCUGCUUUACCGAUGAGGAAACAAGUUCAGAGAGGUUAAUUUAUUAACACUUGUAAAAAAAGUCACAGAGUUGUAGGACAGUUGGCAGAAAUAAAGUGAAAAAGAAAAAAAAAAAAGCAAUGAGACUCUCUUUGUACAAAUGUAGCAUGCUAUCUUAGGUGACAAGCCAGAGAGAAAUUGUGUGGCCACCCAGGUGGCUCCGCGGAAAAGAACCUGCCUGCCAAUGAUGCGGAUUCGGUCCCUGGGCCGGGACGACCACCUGGGGAAGGAAAUGGCAACCCACUCCAGUAUUCUUGCCUGAAAGUCCCAUGGAUAGGGGAGCCUGAUGGGCUACAGUCUGUGCGGUCACGAAAAGUCGGACAUGACUGAGUGAGAAAGCACACACACACCAAGUCCCAUCUCCUGCAGAGAGCCUUUCUUUAGUGAGAAGAAUCACUCAUCCUCUCACAUAUCCAGUGCAUCUCAUUUCCCCCCAUUUGAGCGUUAAUUUCAUACUUUCAAUUGACUGUGGAGAGAUGCACUCUCUUCCCACUGGACCUUGAGGGCCUAUUCAUGCUGCCUUGCCCACGCCCAGUUCCAGACCACCUCCAUCUAGAAUUACAGCAAGCCGAGGGCUAGGGUUACUGCACUUAGCACUGAAAGGCCGCCUCAUUCCAGCCUUUUAGAGCCCGGCAGCUAAUCACUCAUCACUUGCCAGUUGGAUGGUGUGCUCUGGGCUUGCUUUGUGUCUGCCAGGGCCAAAAACAAGCAAAGGGUGGGGGGUCAUCAGGAAUGGAACAGGCUGAGCAGGGCUGGAGGAUGAGUGACAUGGGAAUUCAGAGAACCAACAUCCCCAGGGUGUUCAGGCUUGUGGACAGAUGUGAGGGUCUCUAUAACUGACACUAUGCGUGUGACUAAGGGCCCACAUGCUCUGUCCCUAACUGGGAUUACUGAGGGUUUACUAUGUGUGAUUUUUUUCUUUAAUGAGAACUUCAACACAGUUGCUGUCUUUAAGAGGAGCCUUCUGGUGGGGAGAUAAGUUUCCUCCUAAUUUACCUCUAAGACUCUCAACCAGCCUGUUCCUUCUCUUCUCUUCCAGUCUCCAUGAAAUAUACUUCCAUUCACCUUCUCACCUAGUCCAGGAACCUCAGAGUACCCCGUCUUCUUCACCUCUUACAUCCGAAAGACUGUUGCAUCCCAUAAACUGUCACAUCCCACAAAUGCUAUCUCCAUUUCUGUCUCAUUUCUAAGACCCUAGUUCAGUGUUUCAUCAUUUCUUAUUCGGGUUAUUGCAAUAGUCUUCCCACUAGUUUCCCCGAUUCCAGGAUCAGACCCUUAACUCACCCCCUCCCCACUGUAGCCAGAGUGAUCUCUCUCCUAGAAAUCCUUCAGCAGCCUCCCCUGCCUGGAGAAUAAAGUGCAAGCUCUCAGUUCUUUCUAUUGCUCAUUCAAUAAACAUUUGCUGAUCACCUUCCCUGAACUAGGCAUUAUGCUCAGAGCAAGGAUACAGGUGGGAACAAAACAAAAAUGGUCAUUGUCCUCAGAAAGACAAAACAAGUAAACAAGACAACAUCUGACCUCAAAUUGUGAUAAAAAGUACAAAGUAAAGGAAGUGGAGGCUAGAUUUGAGAAUCACAGUGGAAGGGAAGGAUCUCUGAGAACUAAAGGAUAGGUAGGAGGUGAUCAGGUAAAGAGUAGGCAGAGCAUAGAAGAGCUUCAUGUCUUUUAGAAACAAAGGAAGGCUGUGUAGCUAGCCGCAUGGUGAUGAGCUAAGGCAGAGGCAGGGAGAAUUUGGGCGGGGGCAGGGGGUUGUUGUAGGGGUCAGACCAAGCCUUGUAAGCCGUGGGAAGAGUUUGGAUUUCAUUCUAAAUACACUGGGAAGUCACUGAAGACUCUGAAGCAGGUAAGUAACUCAGUCUGACUUUCAUUUUCAUAAGAUCACCUUGGAGGGUACAUGAAGAAUGGCUCAGAGGGCCACAGAGUGGAAGUGCUGUUAAAUCCUAAAUUCAUAUAUUGAAGUCCUAGUCCCAGUAUCUCAGAGUACAAAUGUAUGUGGAGACAAAGUUCUUAAAGAGGUAAUUAAGUUCAGGCAAGGUCAUUAGACUGCAAGGAGCCAGUCCAUUCUAAAGGAGAUCGAUCAGUCCUGGGUAUUCUUUGGAAGGAAUGGUGCUAAAGCUGAAACUCCAGUACUUUGGCCACCUCAUGGGAGGGAUUGGGGGCAGGAGGAGAAGGGGACGACAGAGGAUGAGAUGGCUGGAUGGCAUCACUGACUCGAUGGACGUGAGUUUGGGUGAACUCCGGGAGCUGGUGAUGGACAGGGCGGCCUGGUGUGCUGCGAUUCAUGGGGUCGCAAAGAGUCGGACAUGACUGAGCGACUAGACUGAACUGAACUGAACUGAAGGUCAUUAGGGCAGACCCUCACCCCAUACGACUAAUGCCCUUAAUGAAAGAGAUUAGGGCACAGAUGCACACACGUGAAGACCACGUGAAGACACACGGGGAAGGCAGCCACCCACAGGCCAAGGAGAGAGGCUUCAAAGAAUCAGCCUGCCGAUACCACGACUUUGGACUUCCAGUCUCCAGAAAUGUACGAAACUAAAUUCUGAGGUUUAAGCCACCAGGUCUGAGGCCCUUUGUUGUGACAAUUUAAGCAGACUAAUAUAAGUGAGAGGUCAACUUAAGAGAUCACGGAAGAGGCCAGGCUGGGAGAAGAUGAUGGCGGGCUGUUUCAGAGGGAAAGAGAAGGAGAUGGAGCAGACUGGAUGAAUUCCAGAGGGACCUUCGCGUACAGACUAUAGAACUAGAGAUGGAGGGAACGAGGGUGAUCAAAUCAGAUGGGCCUGAACAGGCGAUGGAGAUGCCCUUUACUGAGAUGGGGAGGCUCCAGGGAGAAAGAGGAGUGGGCAGAGAAGGCAGACUCCUUAUGGUGACUUCCAUGGGGUUCCAUGUGCUCAACGAUGACAAAGACAACAUUGGCUGACACGCCUCCGAAAAAAUUAAUGAAUUAAAUUAAACCAUCCAACAUGAAAAUUUAAAUUAAUAAACUUUGUUCUUUAGAACAUUUUUAGGUUUACAGAAAAAUAAAGCAGAGUUCCCAUGUAGUCCUCUGCUCUGCACAGUUUCACCCAUUAUUCCAUGUUUUAAAUCCAAAGGAAAUUGUUCCUAGAGUCAAAAUAAAGCUCAGACCUUUCUACCUGCUCUUCCAACACAGAGAGAUGGUUGCAGUGUGGAAAAGCUUCGUAGUGACACAAGUGAGCACAGCCUGCCCUGAGCUCUCUCUCAAUCCCCUCUCCCACCACCUUCCCACUUUCCUUUGGAUGAGACUAGUUUAAUUUUCUUCACUAGCCUGGCCAACUGCUCUUCAUGCUUCAACUUGGCUCAUGUGUCAUCCCCUCCCAGAAGUCUGUCCCCUUGGUCACCCACUCUGCCCACUUUGGGCCAGUAACCAGUGCAACCCACAGGUUAUCCCCGCCCAUAUCAGAGGGAGGAAAAUGCUGUUUGUCAAUGUGUCACCCUACCUCCCAUGACACUAUAACCAACAGAAAGCAGGGAGCCUGGCUUAUCAAAUCUGUAUUCCUAGGGUUUCCCUGGUGGCUCAGACGGUAAAGAAUCUGCCUACAAUGUGGGAGACCUGGGUUCAGUCCCUGGGUUGGGAAGAUUCCCUGGAGGAGGGCAUGGCAACCCACUCUAGUAUUCUUGCCUGGAGAAUCCCACGCACAGAGGAGAAACCCCAUGGUGGGCUACAGUCCACUGGGUCACAAAGAGUCAGACACAACUGAAUGACUAAGCACAGCACAGUGCCCAGCCCAGUGCUUGGUUGUAGCAGUACUCCAGAAAUACGUUUUUCAGGUGAACAGAAAGUGGUUGGUGGAAAGAAUGAAGGAAGGAAGGAAAGAAAGAGGGAGGAAGGGAAGGAGGGAAAAAGGAAGAAAGGAAGGGAAAGAGAAAGAAAGGUAAAAAGAUAAA